rnacentral:rRNA from 1 species
GAUGAACGCUAGCGACAGGCUUAACACACGCAAGUCGAGGGGCAGCGGGGGUAGCAAUACCCGCCGGCGACCGGCGCACGGGUGAGUAACGCGUAUGCAACUUACCUAUCAGAGGGGGAUAACCCGGCGAAAGUCGGACUAAUACCGCAUGAAGCAGGGGCCCCGCAUGGGGAUAUUUGCUAAAGAUUCAUCGCUGAUAGAUAGGCAUGCGUUCCAUUAGGCAGUUGGCGGGGUAACGGCCCACCAAACCGACGAUGGAUAGGGGUUCUGAGAGGCAGGUCCCUCACAUUGGUACUGAGACACGGACCAAACUCCUACGGGAGGCAGCAGUGAGGAAUAUUGGUCAAUGGGCGCGAGCCUGAACCAGCCAAGUCGCGUGAGGGAUGAAGGUUCUAUGGAUCGUAAACCUCUUUUAUAAGGGAAUAAAGUGCGGGACGUGUCCUGUUUUGUAUGUACCUUAUGAAUAAGGAUCGGCUAACUCCGUGCCAGCCGCCGCGGUAA